UGUUUUUCAUUCCAAAUUUUCUUCAUAUUUUGUAGCUAAUAGUAAUAUUUCCACAUUGAUAUGUGAAAAAUAAUUUUCAUAUUUUGACAUAUAAAAACAAAAAUUUAAAAAGGGCACACCUCAAGUUUGUUUAAUUUUUCGUUCCUUCUUACUUUUAAUUCUAUGCCGGUGGACUAUCAGCCUGGUAGCGUACUAAAGUUGUGCCAUCUAUCAGUCGUUUAUCCUACGGCUGUAGAAAUCUGUAUCAAAUAUAAGUAAUUAACGAAAAUUUAUGGAUAGGUAAAUGGAUCAUUAAAAUCUCGUAAUAUUACAAACAAGUGAAUUGUAGUAGGCUGUAGCAGAACAUCGAUCCGUGACCUACUUUUGUUUCCGCUUUCUAUCAGCAAAAAUCAGGUUUUUCGUUUCUUAUGGUCCUUCAACAUCGACAGAUUGGCACCACCAUUUGGAAGAAAAAAGACCGCUGUACGUCGGAAUCAGUGACCUGUGUACUUUGCAGGAUUUUCUAACUUAACUUAUUAAGCAAAAAUUGGAAUUAUUGUUUUCUUAAUCCUUCUACACCUUAAGUUGAAACUCAUCACACCAAAGCGUAUGAAUUUCGUAAUUUCGUAUUGUAUUAAACGAAAAAGAUGAGUGUACUUUUCCUAUAUAUAUUUAUAAUUUA